UCGGGAAUUCUUGAGGCUGGUGGUAUUGAUUAUCGGUGGCAGUUACAGACUUACAGUCACAGGAUAACUAGAGAAAUUUGAGAAUCACGUGAGUAUUCUGAUGAAUCCUGAGACAAGGACAAGACAUAAAAAAAAAGCGACAGUGAUAGCAUUUCUGAAAGUGAGCCUGUGGAUUCUGACUAUGCUUUGUAGAAAAUAACAUAUCACGUUUAAUAAGGAAUGACAUCAAAAAAGAGGGAUGGGGAUAGCAUUUCUGAAAGUGAGCCUG
rnacentral:misc_RNA from 1 species